CGCUAGCUACAGGCUUAACACAUGCAAGUCGAGGGGCAGCAUGGUCUUAGCUCGCUAAGGCCGAUGGCGACCGGCGCACGGGUGAGUAACACGUAUCCAACCUGCCGUCUACUCUUGGACAGCCUUCUGAAAGGAAGAUUAAUACAAGAUGGCAUCAUGAGUCCGCAUGUUCACAUGAUUAAAGGUAUUCCGGUAGACGAUGGGGAUGCGUUCCAUUAGAUAGUAGGCGGGGUAACGGCCCACCUAGUCUUCGAUGGAUAGGGGUUCUGAGAGGAAGGUCCCCCACAUUGGAACUGAGACACGGCCCAAACUCCUACGGGAGGCAGCAGUGAGGAAUAUUGGUCAAUGGGCGAGAGCCUGAACCAGCCAAGUAGCGUGAAGGAUGACUGCCCUAUGGGUUGUAAACUUCUUUUAUAAAGGAAUAAAGUCGGGUAUGCAUACCCGUUUGCAUGUACUUUAUGAAUAAGGAUCGGCUAACUCCGUGCCAGCAGCCGCGGUAAUACGGAGGAUCCGAGCGUUAUCCGGAUUUAUUGGGUUUAAAGGGAGCGUAGAUGGAUGUUUAAGUCAGUUGUGAAAGUUUGCGGCUCAACCGUAAAAUUGCAGUUGAUACUGGAUAUCUUGAGUGCAGUUGAGGCAGGCGGAAUUCGUGGUGUAGCGGUGAAAUGCUUAGAUAUCACGAAGAACUCCGAUUGCGAAGGCAGCCUGCUAAGCUGCAACUGACAUUGAGGCUCGAAAGUGUGGGUAUCAAACAGGAUUAGAUACCCUGGUAGUCCACACGGUAAACGAUGAAUACUCGCUGUUUGCGAUAUACAGCAAGCGGCCAAGCGAAAGCGUUAAGUAUUCCACCUGGGGAGUACGCCGGCAACGGUGAAACUCAAAGGAAUUGACGGGGGCCCGCACAAGCGGAGGAACAUGUGGUUUAAUUCGAUGAUACGCGAGGAACCUUACCCGGGCUUAAAUUGCAGAUGAAUUACGGUGAAAGCCGUAAGCCGCAAGGCAUCUGUGAAGGUGCUGCAUGGUUGUCGUCAGCUCGUGCCGUGAGGUGUCGGCUUAAGUGCCAUAACGAGCGCAACCCUUGUUGUCAGUUACUAACAGGUUCUGCUGAGGACUCUGACAAGACUGCCAUCGUAAGAUGUGAGGAAGGUGGGGAUGACGUCAAAUCAGCACGGCCCUUACGUCCGGGGCUACACACGUGUUACAAUGGGGGGUACAGAGGGCCGCUACCACGCGAGUGGAUGCCAAUCCCCAAAACCUCUCUCAGUUCGGACUGGAGUCUGCAACCCGACUCCACGAAGCUGGAUUCGCUAGUAAUCGCGCAUCAGCCACGGCGCGGUGAAUACGUUCCCGGGCCUUGUACACACCGCCCGUCAAGCCAUGGGAGCCGGGGGUACCUGAAGUGCGUAACCGCGAGGAGCGCCCUAGGGUAAAACUGGUGA
rnacentral:rRNA from 1 species